UGGCUUCAAAUUUUGGAUUCUUGGCCUAAUAUUUCUUUGGCUUAUUUCUCAGUAGACCGCUCUAACCACAGCAGAGAGAACAAGUCCUUAAAAACUGCUUCACAAGCUAAUCAAACAGGAAUUUCUUUAUUUGGUCUCUCCGUCUCAAGAUUGGCCAUGAAAACACGUCUGUUUUGCAGCCUUCUUCUUCUAAAACAAGCAAGAGACAUGAAAGAAAAGACUGGUCAUGCUAUACUGCUGACUAACACCUGCUAAAAGAAGGGUGUCAGGAGAGUCGCACAGUCCCAUGAGCCGCAGUCGCAGUCACAUCUGACUACAGCUCCAGAUGCACCGACCCUCUACCCUCGAGAGAGGCUCAGAAGC